GAUGAACGCUGGCGGCGUGCCUAAUGCAUGCAAGUCGAGCGAACAGACGAGGAGCUUGCUCCUCUGACGUUAGCGGCGGACGGGUGAGUAACACGUGGAUAACCUACCUAUAAGACUGGGAUAACUUCGGGAAACCGGAGCUAAUACCGGAUAAUAUAUUGAACCGCAUGGUUCAAUAGUGAAAGACGGUUUUGCUGUCACUUAUAGAUGGAUCCGCGCCGCAUUAGCUAGUUGGUAAGGUAACGGCUUACCAAGGCAACGAUGCGUAGCCGACCUGAGAGGGUGAUCGGCCACACUGGAACUGAGAAACGGUCCAGACUCCUACGGGAGGCAGCAGUAGGGAAUCUUCCGCAAUGGGCGAAAGCCUGACGGAGCAACGCCGCGUGAAUGAUGAAGGUCUUCGGAUCGUAAAACUCUGUUAUUAGGGAAGAACAAAUGUGUAAGUAACUAUGCACGUCUUGACGGUACCUAAUCAGAAAGCCACGGCUAACUACGUG
rnacentral:rRNA from 1 species